CGUGGACAAACCCACAACUGUGAUAAAUAACAUAGUAAACCAAAAGAAUUUAAUAACUACUAAACUCAAGUAAUUAACCAUGCAUAGAAGAAACCAAUGCGAAAUGCGAAUAAUGUGAAAAGAAUAUUCGACGGCGUCCAAAAUCUCUUUUCACUACGCUUUCGUUUUUUGGAAGUCUUGAUAAAAAACAAACACAUUAAUUCCUGAAACUAGA
rnacentral:lncRNA from 1 species